rnacentral:lncRNA from 1 species
GUGUCUUCCGAAAGCAACAGACUUAAGGGAUCUCGUGGAUAAGAAGAAGAAAACUAAGUUUUUAUCUUGCCAGUUUGGGAGUCGUUAGUAUCCUGGCACCCUUUAGUUAGACGGCAGAUUGACCACAGUCUGGGGAAUUGGCACCCACCGUGCCCCUCAUCCCCAGAACCAGACACAGGGGUCAGCUCGUGUCUAAGACAAGCAAGGACCGGGAGCAUAACAGAAGGAAGGAAUUUAAUAACGGACAGCGGUGGGACCCAGGAACCUCCGCCUGAGCCCUCUGGCAAGCCUGCACCAGGGAUGGAGCACUGCGCACAGCCCCUUCUGUUCCUGUGAGGGGCCUGGCCUCUCAGG